rnacentral:lncRNA from 1 species
UGGAUUCAACUUUUGACUCAGAAAAGUCUUCAAUUUUCUUAUCCAGAUGUUCCAUUUGUCAUACCAAAGUGUAUUCUCUGGAACAUGACUUUUGCAGAAUAGAAAAAAAAAAUGUUACAGGAACAAAAGGGAGUCACAGUGCUAAGUUGAAUGAAAUUCAACUGGCUUUUAAAUUGUAGGAUCACUCAGAGCCUCAUUAGAGGCUUAAAAUCUAAUGUGUCUCUCAAAGAGGGAGCAACAUAUCAUUUAAAAUGCAAUGAAUAGCUAAGUGUUGCCGGAACUUACCCAGCUAUGGAAACUUCUUUUCAUAAAGCAUCUCAUGGAAUUUAGGAAUUUAGGGAAACAAUGACUACGUUCUUUAGGACACUUCAGGUUGAAAGUAAUAGAGAUCAAACACUAGUUUAGGCAAGAAGCGGAAACCAUUUGCUCCGGUAACAAAAUCAAAGGUAGGACAAGGGUGGAGAUAGCUUCAUGGACAACUGGAGUAGCUUAUAAUCGUUAAUAUUUAUUGUGAGAUGACCAUGUGCCAGACAUUGCUCAACAUACUUCACAUGCAUUCAUUGGUUCAGUCCCUACAACAGUACUAUUAUUAUCGUCUCUUUACAAAAGAGGAACAUCAGGGUCAGAGAAGUUUGCCAAGGUUGCCAAGGCAGUGACUCUGUACCCACACUUGGAACUACUAACCUUUUGUUUUUCCAGGGACUGAAAUGCUGUCAAAGUUCAUUUUCUCUGUGUGACUCUUGUGUCCUUGGCUCUAUUUCAUUCUCUUCAAAUCAGCUUUCCCCAUGAGA